AUUGAACGCUGGCGGAAUGCUUUACACAUGCAAGUCGAACGGUAGAGGGGGCAACCCCUCGAGAGUGGCGAACGGGUGAGUAAUAUAUCGGAACGUGCCCAGUCGUGGGGGAUAACGUAGCGAAAGUUACGCUAAUACCGCAUACGAUCUAAGGAUGAAAGCGGGGGACUCGCAAGAGCCUCGCGCGAUUGGAGCGGCCGAUAUCAGAUUAGGUAGUUGGUGGGGUAAAGGCUCACCAAGCCAACGAUCUGUAGCUGGUCUGAGAGGACGACCAGCCACACUGGAACUGAGACACGGUCCAGACUCCUACGGGAGGCAGCAGUGGGGAAUUUUGGACAAUGGACGCAAGUCUGAUCCAGCCAUUCCGCGUGCAGGAUGAAGGCCCUCGGGUUGUAAACUGCUUUUGUACGGAACGAAAAGGUUUCUAUUAAUACUAGGAGCUCAUGACGGUACCGUAAGAAUAAGCACCGGCUAACUACGUGCCAGCAGCC
rnacentral:rRNA from 1 species